rnacentral:rRNA from 1 species
UGCUGGACGUAUCAGAAGUGCGAAUGCUGACAUAAGUAACGAUAAAACGGGUGAAAAACCCGUUCGCCGGAAGACCAAGGGUUCCUGUCCAACGUUAAUCGGGGCAGGGUGAGUCGGCCCCUAAGGCGAGGCUGAAAAGCGUAGUCGAUGGGAAACGGGUUAAUAUUCCCGUACUUGGAUAAACUGCGAUGUGGGGACGGAGCAGGUUAGGUUAUCGCACUGUUGGAUAUGUGCGUUUAAGUUGGUAGGUGUGAAGUUUAGGCAAAUCCGGACUUCUUUAACACCGAGAGAUGAUGACGAGGCUCUACGGAGCUGAAGUAACCGAUACCACACUUCCAGGAAAAGCCACUAAGCUUCAGGUUUAUCUAAACCGUACUGAAAACCGACACAGGUGGUCAGGUAGAGAAUACUCAGGCGCUUGAGAGAACUCGGGUGAAGGAACUAGGCAAAAUAGCACCGUAACUUCGGGAGAAGGUGCGCCGGCGUAGAUUGUAGUCCCUUGCGGGCGAAGGUUGAACCGGUCGAAGAUACCAGCUGGCUGCAACUGUUUAUUAAAAACACAGCACUCUGCAAACACGAAAGUGGACGUAUAGGGUGUGAUGCCUGCCCGGUGCUGGAAGGUUAAUUGAUGGUGUAAUCGAAAGAGAAGCUCCUGAUCGAAGCCCCAGUAAACGGCGGCCGUAACUAUAACGGUCCUAAGGUAGCGAAAUUCCUUGUCGGGUAAGUUCCGACCUGCACGAAUGGCAUAAUGAUGGCCAGGCUGUCUCCACCCGAGACUCAGUGAAAUUGAAAUCGCCGUGAAGAUGCGGUGUACCCGCGGCUAGACGGAAAGACCCCGUGAACCUUUACUAUAGCUUGACACUGAACAUUGAAUUUUGAUGUGUAGGAUAGGUGGGAGACUUAGAAGUAGUCACGCCAGUGAUUAUGGAGUCGACCUUGAAAUACCACCCUUUAACGUUUGAUGUUCUAACGAAGAUUACGAAACGUGGUCUCGGACAGUGUCUGGUGGGUAGUUUGACUGGGGCGGUCUCCUCCCAAAGAGUAACGGAGGAGCACGAAGGUUUGCUAAUGACGGUCGGACAUCGUCAGGUUAGUGCAAUGGUAUAAGCAAGCUUAACUGCGAGACAGACAAGUCGAGCAGGUACGAAAGUAGGUCAUAGUGAUCCGGUGGUUCUGAAUGGAAGGGCCAUCGCUCAACGGAUAAAAGGUACU